CCAAUAGCGUAUAUUAAAGUUGUUGCAGUUAAAAAGCUCGUAGUUGAAUUUCGGGAUCAAUAUAUCGGUCGUGCCUUGGUACGUACUGGUAUCAUUGGUUUCUCCUUUCUGACGAACCAUGAUGUCAUUAAUUUGGUGUUAUGGGAAGUUAGGACUGUUACUUUGAAAAAAUUAGAGUGUUUAAAGCAGGCUUUAGCUUGAAUACAUUAGCAUGGAAUAA
rnacentral:rRNA from 1 species